rnacentral:lncRNA from 1 species
UCCUCUCCUCGCUUACCUCCUAUCUGCAGCAAACUGAAGAGAUGCAGUUCCCUGGUCCUGAAGAGACUUCUGUUCUAUCGGGGGUACAGGGAGGGGACGCCAGUCACAGAGCACGUGACACGGUGCUAAGGAGCAGAGUUGGCCCGGGGGAGGCUGUGCUUUGCUCGCCUCCAGGGCAGUGGAUUGCUGAUCGGCUGCGCAGACUGGCACCAGCCCACACGGACGGCUGCAGCCAGGUGAGGAGAGGCAGCAGGGCCGGGUCGGGAGGGUGUCCUGAGGGCAGCCGGGCGCUCGCUGCCAUCAGGCCCCUCUGGCAGGCCUGGAGGACACUGACAGACGGCACAGCUUGGUUUUGUAGCUCGGUGGGGCAGGAGAGGAGGGUGACUACCGCAGAAGGAGGUCUUGGGGAAGAGUGAUGGUGAUGUGAAAACGGGAUCUAUGGGGAAAAGCAAAGCAGAGGAGGCAGUGAUGUAGCAGCCACUGCAGGGACAGACAGGAGGUCCUCCAGAGAUGGACAGACAGAGCAGGCAGCGAGGAGGGAGCCAGCAGGGCCAGGCCCUGGGGACCAGGCAGCGGGUCAAAGGCAGGUUUCCCCACGACCUGUCAGCCCCAGGGCGGGGGGACUCUGGUCAUCAGGGAAAACAUCUCAAUGUCACGGGGAUGCAUGCGAGCCUGGGGGUGCAGGACGACCUGGGUCCCCCUCCCCUUCGUGUAGGCGCCACCCAUCCGGCUGUGUUUAGGAUCCAGAGUCCAAGGCCACAUGCGUGAUUUUACCAGAGACGGCCGUCCAUGGAAGGGCCCGCCCGAGGCUCUAAGGUCAGAGGGGCCCGGCAGAGCUACCGCUACAUCGAGCAAGCCCAUCUAAAGUUUUUAGAUUAAAAAAAUGUCAUAAAGGACAAAAAGACACGGGGAUCUUGUUGGCCCACGUGGGUGUAAGGGGAGUCACAGGCCCAGAAGGAAUAGCAAGUCAGAGCCUACCUCCCCCAAAAUGACAAAGUCACGAUCGUCUCUCUUCUCAAGUACAUCUCACAUCCCUAACAGGUAUUUAGGAGUUUUUCCUCCCAAAGUCGUUUCUUGUUCUAACGAAGAUCAGGGGAAAACCCCAGGGAAGGCCCAGAGCUAGACACUUCCGUCUAAUAGACGGAGGACAGAAUCUUUGCGGCUGGCCAGAGGCACUCCUCUGGGUCUCCAGUACCUGGCUGUCUUCGACUGCCUUAACCAUCAGCCUGAGGGAGGGCUU